rnacentral:rRNA from 1 species
UACGGGGGGAGCAAGCGUUGUUCGGAUUUACUGGGCGUAAAGGGCGCGUAGGCGGCCACCGCAAGUCGAUUGUGAAAUCUCCGGGCUUAACCCGGAAAGGUCAACCGAUACUGCGGGGCUAGAGUGCAGAAGGGGCAACUGGAAUUCUCGGCGUAGCGGUGAAAUGCGUAGAUAUCUGGAGGAACACCGGUGGCGAAGGCGGCGUCCUGGACCAACACUGACACUGAGGAGCGAAAGCAUGGGGAGCGAACAGG